UACGUAGGGGGCUAGCGUUGUCCGGAUUUAUUGGGCGUAAAGAGCGUGUAGGCGGCCAUGUAGGUCCGGUGUGAAAACUCCAGCUCAACCUGGAGACGCCAUUCGAUACUGCUGUGGCUAGAGUCCGGUAGGGGAGCACGGAAUUCCUGGUGUAGCGGUGAAAUGCGCAGAUAUCAGGAGGAACACCGGUGGCGAAGGCGGUGCUCUGGGCCGGUACUGACGCUGAGGAGCGAAAGCGUGGGUAGCAAACAGG
rnacentral:rRNA from 1 species